rnacentral:rRNA from 1 species
UUGAACGCUGGCGGCAGGCCUAACACAUGCAAGUCGAACGGUAACAGGGAUCAGCUUGCUGAUUCGCUGACGAGUGGCGGACGGGUGAGUAAUGUCUGGGAAACUGCCUGAUGGAGGGGGAUAACUACUGGAAACGGUAGCUAAUACCGCAUAACGUCGCAAGACCAAAGAGGGGGACCUUCGGGCCCCUUGCCAUCGGCUGUGCCCCGAUGGGCUUAGCUAGUAGGGGGGGUAACGGCCCCCCCAGGCGACGCUCCCUAGCGGGUCUGCGCGGAUGACCAGCGACACUGGAAGUGAGAGACGGUCCGGACGCCGACGGGAGGCAGCAGUGGGGAAUAUUGGACAAAGGGCGCAAGCCUGAUGCAGCGAGGCCGCGUGUAUGAAGAAGGCCUGCGGGUUGUAAAGUACUUGCAGCGGGGAGGAGGGGAGUAAAGUUAAUACCUGUGCUCAUUGACGUUACCCGCAGAAGAAGCACCGGCUAACUCCGUG